rnacentral:rRNA from 1 species
UACGAAGGGGGCUAGCGUUGUUCGGAAUUACUGGGCGUAAAGCGCACGUAGGCGGACAUUUAAGUCAGGGGUGAAAUCCCAGAGCUCAACUCUGGAACUGCCUUUGAUACUGGGUGUCUGGAGUAUGGAAGAGGUGAGUGGAAUUCCGAGUGUAGAGGUGAAAUUCGUAGAUAUCUGGAGGAACACCGGUGGCGAAGGCGGCAUCCUGGACCAACACUGACGCUGAGUGAGCGAAAGCCAGGGGAGCAAACGGG